CGGGUAGCGGAACACGUACGCAACCUUCCUUUAACUGGAGAAUAGCCCCUCGAAAGAGGGAUUAAUACUCCGUAACAUAUUGAUAAGGCAUCUUAUUAAUAUUAUAGCUCCGGCGGUUAAAGAUGGGCGUGCGCCUGAUUAGAUAGUUGGCGGGGUAACGGCCCACCAAGUCUGCGAUCAGUAACUGGUGUGAGAGCACGACCAGUCACACGGGCACUGAGACACGGGCCCG
rnacentral:rRNA from 1 species